rnacentral:rRNA from 1 species
AUUGAACGCUGGCGGCAUGCCUUACACAUGCAAGUCGAACGGCAGCACGGGAGCAAUCCUGGUGGCGAGUGGCGAACGGGUGAGUAAUAUAUCGGAACGUGCCCAGUCGUGGGGGAUAACGCAGCGAAAGCUGUGCUAAUACCGCAUACGAUCUAAGGAUGAAAGCGGGGGAUCGCAAGACCUCGCGCGAUUGGAGCGGCCGAUAUCAGAUUAGCUAGUUGGUGGGGUAAAGGCCCACCAAGGCGACGAUCUGUAGCUGGUCUGAGAGGACGACCAGCCACACUGGAACUGAGACACGGUCCAGACUCCUACGGGAGGCAGCAGUGGGGAAUUUUGGACAAUGGGCGCAAGCCUGAUCCAGCAAUGCCGCGUGCAGGAUGAAGGCCUUCGGGUUGUAAACUGCUUUUGUACGGAACGAAACGGCCCUUUCUAAUACCUGGGGCUAAUGACGGUACCGCAAGAAUAAGCACCGGCUAACUACGUGCCAGCCGCCGCAGUAAUAC